GACGUAGGGCGCGAGCGUUGUCCGGAUUUAUUGGGCGUAAAGAGCUCGUAGGCGGCUUGUCGCGUCGAAUGUGAAAUCUCAGGGCUCAACUCUGACAUUGCAUUCGAUACGGGCAGGCUAGAGUUCGGUAGGGGAGACUGGAAUUCCUGGUGUAGCGGUGAAAUGCGCAGAUAUCAGGAGGAACACCGGUGGCGAAGGCGGGUCUCUGGGCCGAUACUGACGCUGAGAAGCGAAAGCAUGGGUAGCGAACAGG
rnacentral:rRNA from 1 species